rnacentral:rRNA from 1 species
AGACAGACCCAGGGAACUGAAACAUCUAAGUACCUGGAGGAAGAGAAAGCAAAUGCGAUUUCCUGAGUAGCGGCGAGCGAAACGGAACAUAGCCCAAACCAAGAGGCUUGCCUCUUGGGGUUGUAGGACAUUCUAUACGGAGUUACAAAGGAACGAGGUAGACGAAGCGACCUGGAAAGGUCCGUCGUAGAGGGUAACAACCCCGUAGUCGAAACUUCGUUCUCUCUUGAAUGUAUCCUGAGUACGGCGGAACACGUGAAAUUCCGUCGGAAUCUGGGAGGACCAUCUCCCAAGGCUAAAUACUCCCUAGUGAUCGAUAGUGAACCAGUACCGUGAGGGAAAGGUGAAAAGCACCCCGGAAGGGGAGUGAAAGAGAUCCUGAAACCGUGUGCCUACAAAUAGUCAGAGCCCGUUAAUGGGUGAUGGCGUGCCUUUUGUAGAAUGAACCGGCGAGUUACGAUCCCGUGCGAGGUUAAGCUGAAGAGGCGGAGCCGCAGCGAAAGCGAGUCUGAAUAGGGCGUUUAGUACGUGGUCGUAGACCCGAAACCAGGUGAUCUACCCAUGUCCAGGGUGAAGUUCAGGUAACACUGAAUGGAGGCCCGAACCCACGCACGUUGAAAAGUGCGGGGAUGAGGUGUGGGUAGCGGAGAAAUUCCAAUCGAACCUGGAGAUAGCUGGUUCUCCCCGAAAUAGCUUUAGGGCUAGCCUUAAGUGUAAGAGUCUUGGAGGUAGAGCACUGAUUGAACUAGGGGUCCUCAUCGGAUUACCGAAUUCAGUCAAACUCCGAAUGCCAAUGACUUAUCCUUAGGAGUCAGACUGCGAGUGAUAAGAUCCGUAGUCAAGAGGGAAACAGCCCAGAUCGCCAGCUAAGGUCCCAAAGUGUGUAUUAAGUGGAAAAGGAUGUGGAGUUGCUUAGACAACUAGGAUGUUGGCUUAGAAGCAGCCACCAUUUAAAGAGUGCGUAAUAGCUCACUAGUCGAGUGACUCUGCGCCGAAAAUGUACCGGGGCUAAAUACACCA